CUCUUGACAUCCAGAGAACUUUCCAGAGAUGGAUUGGUGCCUUCGGGAACUCUGAGACAGGUGCUGCAUGGCUGUCGUCAGCUCGUGUUGUGAAAUGUUGGGUUAAGUCCGCAACGAGCGCAACCCCUAUCCUUUGUUGCCAGCGAUUCGGUCGGGAACUCAAAGGAGACUGCCGGUGAUAAACCGGAGGAAGGUGGGGAUGACGUCAAGUCAUCAUGGCCCUUACGAGUAGGGCUACACACGUGCUACAAUGGCGUAUACAAAGAGAAGCAACCUCGCGAGAGCAAGCGGACCUCAUAAAGUACGUCGUAGUCCGGAUUGGAGUCUGCAACUCGACUCCAUGAAGUCGGAAUCGCUAGUAAUCGUAGAUCAGAAUGCUACGGUGAAUACGUUCCCGGGCCUUGUACACACCGCCCGUCACACCAUGGGAGUGGGUUGCAAAAGAAGUAGAUAGCUUAACCUUCGGGAGGGCGUUUACCACUUUGUGAUUCAUGACUGGGGUGAAGUCGUAACAAGGUAGGCGUAGCGAG
rnacentral:rRNA from 1 species